rnacentral:lncRNA from 11 species
AGUCAACAGCAUAUCUCUUCUGAACAAAUCUUGCCAAAAGAAUCCUGUGAUCGGGUCCCCUUAGGUUCAUCAUUCAAUCAGGAAUUUUUUGAAGCUAUGAAAGACCAAUGAAAGGACCAAGGCAUUGACAUCUCCAGCCCAUCCUCUGCUUGGAUAUCAGCCAGCAUGCCAAUGACUUAAAUCAAGAAACAGCAUGGAACAGAUGCAGGA